rnacentral:rRNA from 1 species
CAAGUCGAGCGGGGGAAGGUAGCUUGCUANNNGACCUAGCGGCGGACGGGUGAGUAAUGCUUAGGAAUCUGCCUAUUAGUGGGGGACAACAUCUCGAAAGGGAUGCUAAUACCGCAUACGUCCUACGGGAGAAAGCAGGGGAUCUUCGGACCUUGCGCUAAUAGAUGAGCCUAAGUCGGAUUAGCUAGUUGGUGGGGUAAAGGCCUACCAAGGCGACGAUCUGUAGCGGGUCUGAGAGGAUGAUCCGCCACACUGGGACUGAGACACGGCCCAGACUCCUACGGGAGGCAGCAGUGGGGAAUAUUGGACAAUGGGGGGAACCCUGAUCCAGCCAUGCCGCGUGUGUGAAGAAGGCCUUAUGGUUGUAAAGCACUUUAAGCGAGGAGGAGGCUACUNUAGUUAAUACCUAGNGAUAGUGGACGUUACUCGCAGAAUAAGCACCGGCUAACUCUGUGCCAGCAGCCGCGGUAAUACAGAGGGUGCGAGCGUUAAUCGGAUUUACUGGGCGUAAAGCGUGCGUAGGCGGCUUAUUAAGUCGGAUGUGAAAUCCCCGAGCUUAACUUGGGAAUUGCAUUCGAUACUGGUGAGCUAGAGUAUGGGAGAGGAUGGUAGAAUUCCAGGUGUAGCGNUGAAAUGCGUANAGAUCUGGAGGAAUACCGAUGGCGAAGGCAGCCAUCUGNCCUAAUACUGANNCUGAGGUACGAAAGCNUGGNGAGCAAACAGGAUUAGAUACCCUGGUAGUCCAUGCCGUNNNCGAUGUCUACUANCCGUUGGGGCCUUUGAGGCUUUAGUGNNGCNNCUAACG